rnacentral:rRNA from 1 species
AGUGAACGCUGGCGGUAGGCCUAACACAUGCAAGUCGAACGGCAGCACAGUAAGAGCUUGCUCUUACGGGUGGCGAGUGGCGGACGGGUGAGGAAUACAUCGGACUCUACUUUUUCGUGGGGGAUAACGUAGGGAAACUUACGCUAAUACCGCAUACGACCUACGGGUGAAAGCAGGGGAUCUUCGGACCUUGCGCGAUUGAAUGAGCCGAUGUCGGAUUAGCUAGUUGGCGGGGUAAAGGCCCACCAAGGCGACGAUCCGUAGCUGGUCUGAGAGGAUGAUCAGCCACACUGGAACUGGGACACGGACCAGACUCCUACGGGAGGCAGCAGUGGGGAAUAUUGGACAAUGGGCGCAAGCCUGAUCCAGCCAUACCGCGUGGGUGGAGAAGGCCUUCGGGUUGUAAAGCCCUUUUGUUGGGAAAGAAAAGCAGCAGGUUAAUACCCCGCUGUUCUGACGGUACCCAAAGAAUAAGCACCGGCUAACUUCGUG